UACGUAGGGGGCAAGCGUUGUCCGGAUUCAUUGGGCGUAAAGAGCUCGUAGGCGGCUUGGCAAGUCGGGUGUGAAAACUCCAGGCUCAACCUGGAGACGCCACCCGAUACUGCCAUGGCUAGAGUCCGGUAGGGGACCACGGAAUUCCUGGUGUAGCGGUGAAAUGCGCAGAUAUCAGGAGGAACACCGGUGGCGAAGGCGGCGCUCUGGGCCGGAACUGACGCUGAGGAGCGAAAGCGUGGGGAGCAAACAGG
rnacentral:rRNA from 1 species